CACGCUGUAAACGAUGGAUGCUAGGUGUAGGAGGUAUCGACCCCUUCUGUGCCGGAGUUAACACAAUAAGCAUCCCGCCUGGGGAGUACGGCCGCAAGGUUGAAACUCAAAGGAAUUGACGGGGGCCCGCACAAGCAGCGGAGCAUGUGGUUUAAUUCGAAGCAACGCGAAGAACCUUACCAGGUCUUGACAUCGAUGGAACCUGUAGAGAUACGGGGUGCCCUUCGGGGCCCUGAAGACAGGUGG
rnacentral:rRNA from 1 species